rnacentral:rRNA from 1 species
ACGGCCGCGGUACCCUAACCGUGCAAAGGUAGCACAAUCACUUGUUCUUUAAAUGAGGACUAGAAUCAACGGCAUCACGAGGAUCCCACUGUCUCCCCCCUCCAAUCAGUGAAACUGAUCUCUCCGUGAAGAAGCGGGGAUACAAAUAUAAGACGAGAAGACCCCAUGGAGCUUUAAACCCAACAGCACCCGUUUAUUUUCAUCCUCACAUAAGUUAGGUUA